UCCUUUCCAUACCGAACAGGCAAGUUAAGCUUUACAGCGCUGAUGGUACUGCAGGGGCAGCCUUGUGGGAGAGUAAGACGUCGCCAGGU
rnacentral:rRNA from 1 species